GGCUGGGCUGGGCUGGGUCUUCAUGAUUGAUUCCCGAACUUGUCCCCGUCCGUCUGGUCUCCCACAUUUACUGCCUCAUAGCCGCCGCCGGCGCCGCCCCUCAUCUAUGAGUCAACUUCUAUUGCUGUAGGCUUCAAUGUGAGGUCACGACUGGUGGGCUGAUUAUGCGUUGAAAGGAUUAGGCUGGUGAGAACCAAGAAGCAAAGGAUGCCGGCAGUCAAUGGGUCAACUUUUCAAAUGGACUAUGGGUCAAACCACAGAAAUACAAUUUAUUGUUGUUUGACUCCCCCGAUUGCGGCUAUUAUUUCAAAACAUAUUUUAAGAGAAAAAAAUGCAAACUUCAUUUUUCGCGUACCUCAGUCGGCAGUUCUACCUGAGGAGAACGAGUUACAGAGGAAGAACGGGAAGAACAGUUGCAGAGGAUUCUUCCGCGAGGAGAAGGAGAAGUUACAGGGCUCAUCUUCUUGACGACGACGGUAAUGCUAUUCCUGCUGUUCUUCUUCANNNNN
rnacentral:lncRNA from 1 species